GCCCAGGUGGCGGAAUUGGUAGACGCGCUGGUCUCAAACACCAGUGAUAGCAAUAUCGUGCCGGUUCGAUCCCGGCCCUGGGUACCA
rnacentral:tRNA from 1 species